GAUACGCGAGGAACCGUUACCUGGGCGUCAAAUGUAUGUUGACGUAUUCUGAAAGGGAUACUUCUUCGGACAAUAUACAAGGUGCUGCAUGGUUGUCGUCAGCUCGUGCCGUGAGGUGUCGGGUUAAGUCCCAUAACGAGCGCAACCCCUGCAUUCAGUUGCCAUCGGGUGAAGCCGGGCACUCUGGAAGGACUGCCAUCGACAAGAUGGAGGAAGGUGGGGACGACGUCAAGUCAUCAUGGCCCUUAUGUCCAGGGCGACACACGUGCUACAAUGGCCGGCACAACGGGAAGCGAGUUCGCGAGGACGAGCGGAUCCCUUAAAGCCGGUCGCAGUUCGGAUUGAAGUCUGCAACUCGACUUCAUGAAGCUGGAAUCGCUAGUAAUCGCAGAUCAGCCAAGCUGCGGUGAAUACGUUCCCGGGCCUU
rnacentral:rRNA from 1 species